rnacentral:rRNA from 1 species
CCUACGGGUGGCAGCAGUGAGGAAUAUUGGUCAAUGGGCGCGAGCCUGAACCAGCCAAGUAGCGUGAAGGAUGACUGCCCUACGGGUUGUAAACUUCUUUUAUAAAGGAAUAAAGUGAGGCACGUGUGCCUGUUGGUAUGUUCUUUAUGGAUAAGGAUCGGGUUACCUCGUGCCAGCAGCCGCGGUAAUACGGGGGAUCCGAGCGUUAUCCGGAUUUAUUGGGUUUAAAGGGAGGGUAGGUGGAUUGUUAAGUUAGUUGUGAAAGUUUGCGGCUCAAACGUAAAAUUGCAAUUGAUACUGGCAGUCUUGAGUACAGUUGAGGUAGGCGGAAUGCGUGGUGUAGCGGUGAAAUGCUUAGAUAUCACGAAGAACUCCGAUUGCGAAGGCAGCUUACUAAACUGCCACUGACAUUGAUGCUCGAAAGUGUGGGUAUCAAACAGGAUUAGAUACCCUAGUAGUC